UACGGAGGAUCCGAGCGUUAUCCGGAUUUAUUGGGUUUAAAGGGUGCGUAGGCGGAUAUGUAAGUCAGCGGUGAAACUCACAGGCUCAAACCUGUGCCGUGCCGUUGAAACUGUGUAUCUGGAAUGCGGAUGCUGUGGGAGGAAUGUGUAGUGUAGCGGUGAAAUGCAUAGAUAUUACACAGAACACCGAUUGCGAAGGCAUCUCACAAAGCCGUUAUUGACGCUGAGGCACGAAAGUGUGGGGAUCAAACA
rnacentral:rRNA from 1 species